rnacentral:rRNA from 1 species
AUUGAACGCUGGCGGCAUGCUUUACACAUGCAAGUCGAACGGUAACAGGCCGCAAGGUGCUGACGAGUGGCGAACGGGUGAGUAACGCAUCGGAACGUGCCCAGUCGUGGGGGAUAACGCAGCGAAAGCUGCGCUAAUACCGCAUACGAUCUAUGGAUGGAAGCGGGGGACCGUAAGGCCUCGCGCGAUUGGAGCGGCCGAUGUCAGAUUAGGUAGUUGGUGGGGUAAAGGCUCACCAAGCCGACGAUCUGUAGCUGGUCUGAGAGGACGACCAGCCACACUGGGACUGAGACACGGCCCAGACUCCUACGGGAGGCAGCAGUGGGGAAUUUUGGACAAUGGGCGCAAGCCUGAUCCAGCAAUGCCGCGUGCAGGAAGAAGGCCUUCGGGUUGUAAACUGCUUUUGUACGGAACGAAAAGGCUCUGGUUAAUACCCGGGGCUCAUGACGGUACCGUAAGAAUAAGCACCGGCUAACUACGUGCCAGCCGCCGCCGUAACAC